AUUGAACGCUGGCGGCAGGCUUAACACAUGCAAGUCGAGCGGGGUGAUGGUGCUUGCACUAUCACUUAGCGGCGGACGGGUGAGUAAUGCUUAGGAAUCUGCCUAUUAGUGGGGGACAACAUCUCGAAAGGGAUGCUAAUACCGCAUACGUACUACGGGAGAAAGCAGGGGAUCACUUGUGACCUUGCGCUAAUAGAGGUGCCUAAGUCGGAUUAGGUAGUUGGUGGGGUAAAGGCCUAACAAGGCGACGAUCUGUAGCGGGGCUGAGGGGAUGAUCCGCCACACUUGGACUGAGACACGGCCCAGGCUCCUACGGGAGGCAGCAGUGGGGAAUAUUGGAAAAUGGGGGGAACCCUGAUCCAGCCAUGCCGCGUGUGUGAAGAAGGCCUUAUGGUUGUAAAGCACUUUAAGCGAGGAGGAGGCUCUUUUGGUUAAUACCCAAGAUGAGUGGACGUUACUCGCAGAAUAAGCACCGGCUAACUCUGUGCCAGCAGCCGCGGUAA
rnacentral:rRNA from 1 species